rnacentral:rRNA from 1 species
UGGGCAACCUGCCCUCAGCUCUGGGAUAACUCCAAGAAAUUGGGGCUAAUACCGGAUAUGACUGCUGACCGCAUGGUCUGGUGGUGGAAAGAUUUAUCGGCUGGGGAUGGGCCCGCGGCCCAUCAGCUUGUUGGUGGGGUAGUGGCCUACCAAGGCGACGACGGGUAGCCGGCCUGAGAGGGUGACCGGCCACACUGGGACUGAGACACGGCCCAGACUCCUACGGGAG